rnacentral:rRNA from 1 species
UACCGAGGCCUCAAGCGUUGUUCGGAUUCAUUGGGCGUAAAGGGUGCGUAGGCGGCGCGGUAAGUCGGGUGUGAAAUCUUGGAGCUUAACUCCGAAACUGCAUUCGAUACUGCCGUGCUUGAGGACUGGAGAGGAGACUGGAAUUUACGGUGUAGCGGUGAAAUGCGUAGAUAUCGUAAGGAAGACCAGUGGCGAAGGCGGGUCUCUGGACAGUUCCUGACGCUGAGGCACGAAGGCCAGGGGAGCAAACGGG